rnacentral:rRNA from 1 species
AACGAACGCUGGCGGCAGGCUUAACACAUGCAAGUCGAACGCAUCGCAAGAUGAGUGGCAGACGGGUGAGUAACGCGUGGGAAUCUACCCAGUUCUACGGAACAACUGAGGGAAACUUCAGCUAAUACCGUAUACGCCCUACGGGGGAAAGAUUUAUCGGGAUUGGAUGAGCCCGCGUUGGAUUAGCUAGUUGGUGGGGUAAUGGCCUACCAAGGCGACGAUCCAUAGCUGGUCUGAGAGGAUGAUCAGCCACACUGGGACUGAGACACGGCCCAGACUCCUACGGGAGGCAGCAGUGGGGAAUAUUGGACAAUGGGCGCAAGGCUGAUCCAGCCAUGCCGCGUGAGUGAUGAAGGCCUUAGGGUUGUAAAGCUCUUUCAGUAGGGAAGAUAAUGACGGUACCUACAGAAGAAGCCCCGGCUAACUUCGUGCCAGCCGCCGCAGUAACAC